rnacentral:rRNA from 1 species
UAACCCCAGCGCCACAAGUGGGGAUCGUAUUUAUUUGGCCUAAAGCGUCCGUAGCCGGACUGUUAAAUCUCUUGUGAAAUCGUUAAGCUCAACUUAACGGCGUGCAGGAGAAACUGGCAGUCUAGGAACUGGGAGGCGUCAGAUGUAUGCUUGGGGGAGCAGUAAAAUGCUAUAAUCCCGAGUGGACAACCGGUGGCGAAGGCGUCUGACGAGAACAGGUUCGACGGUCAGGGACGAAAGCGAGGGGAGCAAUCCGGAUUAGAUACCCGAGUAGUCCUCGCUGUAAACUCUGCGAGCAAGGUGUUGCACAUUCUUCGUGGAUGUGCAGUGUCGAAGAGAAGUCGUUAAGCUCGCCGCCUGGGGAGUACGGUCGCAAGACUG